rnacentral:rRNA from 1 species
GACGAACGCUGGCGGCAUGCCUAAUACAUGCAAGUUGAACGAUGAUAUUCUCUGCUUGCAGAGAAUUGAAGAGUAGCGAACGGGUGAGUAACACGUGGGGAACCUGCCCAUGAGAGGGGGAUAACAUUCGGAAACGGAUGCUAAUACCGCAUAAUGCUUUGGACCGCCUGGUCCAGAGACGAAAGACGGCUUUUGCUGUCACUCAUGGAUGGCCCCGCGCCGUAUUAGCUAGUUGGUGAGGUAAUGGCUCACCAAAGCUGUGAUACGUAGCCGACCUGAGAGGGUGAUCGGCCACACUGGGACUGAGACACGGCCCAGACUCCUACGGGAGGCAGCAGUAGGGAAUCUUCCACAAUGGGCGAAAGCCUGAUGGGGCAAUGCCGCGUGAAUGAAGAAGGUCUUCGGAUCGUAAAGUUCUGUUAUUAGAGAAGAACAAGUCAAGGAGUAACUGUCUUGACUUUGACGGUACCUAACCAGAAAGUCACGGCUAACUACGUG